rnacentral:rRNA from 1 species
CCUACGGGAGGCAGCAGUGAGGAAUAUUGGUCAAUGGCCGGAAGGCUGAACCAGCCACGCCGCGUGAAGGUCAGUGCCCUUUGGGCGUUAAACUUCUUUUGUGCGGGAGCAAUAAUGGUCACGUGUGGCCAGACGAGAGUACCGUACGAAUAAGCAUCGGCUAACUCCGUGCCAGCAGCCGCGGUAAUACGGGGGAUGCAAGCGUUAUCCGGCAUUAUUGGGUUUUAAGGGUGCGUAGGCUGUGAGGUAAGUCAGCGGUGGAAUGCCCCCGGUCAACGGGGUGAAGUGCCAUUGAUACUGCCUUGCUAGAGUGCGGAUGCGGUAGGAGGAAUGUGUGGUGUAGCGGUGAAAUGCAUAGAUAUCA